CACACUUUUGGAAAAAGUCUCGAUAUAUUUUCAUAUUUUUGUUAGUCUUGUAAUCUUUUUCCGAUUUGCCGAAAAUCUUUGUGCCACGCACACGAACCACUAGCUGAGUAACGGGUAUCAGAUAGUCGGGAAACUCGACUAUAGCGUUCUCUCUUGUUUUGUUCUUGACUUGGCAUGUUGGGUGCCAAAAUUUAGUUUGGGAGCUUGAAAUAAACCUAGAUCUGGUAUUGUAAUAAAACUUGCUGUUUUCGGUUCUUUAUUCAAUGAUGAUCGCUUACAUUUCUUAGGUCUAUCGAGCUAUGCGGAGUAGCCGCCGGAGCAUACCUCAUACAAAUAAUUAUGUGUUCAUCAUAUAAUAUAAAUUAAUAAAAUAAAUGAAAAAAGGUAUUAUUAUUUAAUAAUAGUUAAUACUUUUACUCUUAUUUUCUAAAACUAAACUAAGUCGUUAUGGCAAAGAAAUAACUAAAGAUUGCCGUCUAUAUGAGCCCAUUCUCGGUGUAUGGCUGAUUUGAGGUUACGAACUGUCUCAAACUUUCUGCCGAUUUUAGAAUCGCGAGUAGUGAAAAUCCCCCAUAGAUUCUCGAUAAGAUUAAGAUCGGGACACAAAUCUGAAAAAAUACUGGUAGUUUUCUAUCUUUAAAAAAGUUGUUGGUGACCUGUGCCGUGUGAAUCGAAGCGUUAACCUAUUAUCAUCGCCAUACAUGUUGCCAGCAAAUUCAAUCAGUUCGUCGUCAAAAAGCUCUAUAUAUGUACAUACAUGCUGGCAUUCAUUCUAGUGGAUACGUAACAUAUUGUAGUAGAAUGCUGCCCAUACCAUACCGUUGUAGCAGGACCGUCGUUUCUGGUCUCCCCAAUUUUUUUUGCAAUUGGCCCAGACCAUCUAAAUUAACUUUUCUCGCUAAAGUCGACAUUGUGCCACUCUUCGUUCCAAAACCGGUUUUGGUUUGCGAAUUCCAAACGAGCCGUAAUGUGCCGCUUCAAUAUCUUGGGGUUAGGUACCAUUGGAGUAAUUUGAAGACCCAAAUGAGCCCUUAUUUGUCCACUGCUAAUCAAAUCUUCUACUGCCAGACGUCGAAUCUGCCGCUUGCACCGAUCAUCAAUAUUUGUUUUCCGUAAACUGCUUGGUGUAGAUUUUAAAAAAUUUUUAAAUGCUGUUUAGUUUUGUUGCUAUCUGCAUUCAUCAAAUUAUAAAAAGUUAACUGUAAACAAAAAAAAUUCACAAAAACAAAAAUGCACAUAUAAUUAUUUGUAAGAGGUACCAAUCUACAUAUGUAUAGCAUACAUAUGUAUAUAUAUUUAUAUAUAUGUUAUAUGCAUAUGUAUGUACAUAAACGAAGCCUGGUCGCGUAUGUUCUAAGUGCUGACGAUGCAUUUGCUACAGUGCUCUAUGAUCCAGAAUUAUUUUUUUUGGUAUAAAGUCAAAAAAUAAAAUUACAUGGUUUGAACUUUUCACAUUUUUUUUGUUAUGGCAUUGAUUCUUUGUAAAACAAAAUUUGCCCAGUGCGACCACGCCCUGCAAAAUGUUUGUUAGUAGGUUAAGAAGCAUUAUCGCCUAAGCAUCCUAGUGGAACCAAGCUCGAAUCAUUAAUCUGGUAACAGUGAACCAAUGUUUUAUGAAUUUUUGGUAACAUCAGAUACCAUGCGUAGCUACGCAUAUAUGUACAUAUAAUGAAAGUUGUUUCGCAAAAUGAGCGAAAUUUAAUAAUAAGAAAUAAGUUUUUUACAUGGUGGCAAUGUAACAUGUACUUAAAGUUGUAGAACUUUUAUGGUGGUUUUCAAUAAUUGUUGUUAAUGCGAAACGAGAGCUUUUACGUGGUGGCAAUUUAUUAAAAAUAAUAUAUAUUCGACAUCUAAGAACAUGUAAAAGGAAGAGCAUAUUCUGUCAAAUUUACAAUGCAUGCGCAUACGUGUGCACACAUACAAUCUCUGUAUGUGUACUAGAGAGCUGCUGGCUCUACAGCUCUCCGCUUUAUGGAUUUUGAAUAAAAUUUCGAAAGCCUGGAGCCAGCACAAAAAAAUAGUGCAAAAAAAUCUUAUCACAAGCCUAACUCGCAAUUC